CUCUGACUAUUCCUUGAGCUUCUUGACUCUGUUUAUUGAAGACUGAGGAUCUUUGCUGUAACGUGACACUUCCUACGGCUCCCAUAGGCUCUCAGAAGGCGGGAAAAAGCUGAAUGAUGUAAUUCCAGCCCCAGGCUGAAACACAUUAGCGCUUUUGGUAAGUGCUCUAUCAGAGGACAAUGGGCUGAGGCGCGUGCACGAGUCGACCCCAUGUUUUUAUUUUCUAUCGUCUUUGAAACUAAACACAGAUUCCCGGUCGGAAUAUUAUCGCUUUUUUACGAGAAAAAUGGCAUAAAAAUGUAUUUUAAACAGCGGUUGACAUGCUUCGAAGUACGGUAAUGGAAUAUUUAGAUUUUUUUUGUCACGAAAUGCGUCGUGCGCGUCACCCUUCUUUACCAUUCGGAUAGUGUCUUGAACGCACGAACAAAACGCCGCUAUUUGGAUAUAACUAUGGAUUAUUUUGAACCAAACCAACAUUUGUUAUUGAAGUAGACGUCCUGGGAGUGCAUUCUGACGAAGACAGCAAAGACAGCCAUUACAGAAUUACCCACCAAACCAGGACCAAGCAGCGGAGGAGGAAGGAGCAACAGGAGAACAGCUUGAUGGACUCAUGGACAUGGGAACAGAUACUGGACGGAGGGGACCAUGGACUCAGGCUGGGGAGUAUCGCCUCCCGCAGUGGGAGAUUGAAGCGGCGAGAGCGGAGAGGCGAUAUUAUGAGGAGAGAGAGCGCAACAAGCACGAGAGGCAGCCCCAAUCAUUUUUUUGGGGGGGGGGCACACAGGACAGUCGGCGGAGCCGAGGUCGGAACCAGAGCCAGUCGGGUUGACAUUGGAGGUGAGCGAGGGGAACGAGGCAGAGACUGUGAAGGAGUUAAUGGGGAGAUUAAAGGAGAGAGAGAUGAGAGAGCUGCUAGUUUGGUGCAUAAGGCACGGUAUCCGCCCUACGGAGCGUGUCGUUGAAAUGAUGUCACCUGAGGCAGCUCUCCAUACUCGUCCUGAGGUGCGUGCUGGUUGUCUGGUGAGGACUGUGCCUGCGCCCAGAAACAGGCCUCCUGCAUGUCUUCCCAGCCCUGCACGUCCUGUGCCUACGCCCAGAACCAGGCCUCCUGCAUGUCUUCCCAUCCUGGUCAAGCCCGUGCCUCCUCCACGGACCAGUCCUCCAGUGGGUCUCCCUAUCCUGGUCAAGCCCGUGCCUCCUCCACGGACCAGUCCUCCAGUGGGUGUCCCCAUCCUGGUCAAGUCCGUGCCUCCUCCUCGGACCAGUCCUCCAGUGGGUCUCCCCAUCCUGGUUCGUCCUGUGCCUCCUCCAAGGACCAGUCCUCCGGUGGAUCCCUCCACCCUGGUCUCUCCUGUGCCGCCUCCUCAGACCGGGCCUCCAGCUGGUCUCCCCAGCCUGAUGAGUCCAGGGCCUGCGCACAGAGCCAGGCCUCCAUGUCUCCCCAGCCUGGCCGGAGUGGCCGGCCGUGCCGGAUCUGCCGGAGUGGCCCGCCGUGCCGAAUCGACGCCAAGGGUGCAGCAAAGGCCACGUCCCGCACCUGAUCCACCUCCAGGUUAGGUGGGUUGGGGAGGGGGGGUGUAGCACAGUGCCGUCGUUGACGGCAGCCACCCUCCCUUCCCUCCCUUAUUGUUUAAGGGGGGAGACAUUUUUUGGGGGGGAUUUUUUGUUGUUUCGGUGUAGGUGCAUUCGGGGUAUGCACCUUUGAGGGGGGGUACUGUCACGUCCUGACCAGUAGAGGGUGUAGUUGGGUCAGGACGUGGCAGAAGAGAAGUGUGUAGGUUGAUUUGUUUCGUUUAUUUUGGCCGUGUGGCUUCCAAUCAGGCACAGCUGUAGAGGGUUGUUGCUGAUUGGGAGUCACACAUAAGUAGCCUACUUUUCCUUUGGGGUUUGUGGGUAAUUGUUCUUGUUACUGUGUUAAUCGUGACAGGACUGUUUUGGUUGUCUGUUUAUUGUAUU
rnacentral:lncRNA from 1 species